ensembl:lncRNA
GAAGUGGUGCUGUUGGCUUGAUGUCAGUAACUGCCCACUGUUGUCUUACUUGUUCUGUGUUGCAGCAUGGCCAAGAGGGGCUGUCCGAGAUCAAGUCUUAGCUUAGAGAAACUCAGAAACCAGAACUUCCUUUCUUAAUCACAGAAUGGCCUGGGUUGGAAGGGACCUCAAGGAUCAUGAAUCUUCAACCCCCCUGCCAGACAGGGCCACCAACCUCCCCAUUUACUAGACCAGGUUACCCAGGGCCUCAUCCAUCCUGGCCUUGAACACCUCCAGGGACGGGGCAUCCACAACCUUUCUGGGCAGCCCGUUCCAGCACCUCACCACUCUCCUGCCAUCACCAGAAGGUUCAUCUCAUCAACUCUUGUUACUGAAACAGCAUCUUCCAUGGCCAAGAAUUGAACACUGCAACUUAGUGAACUUCCUCU